rnacentral:lncRNA from 1 species
UAUCUUUUUCGUGCCUUUUAAUUAUUUUUCUCAAUUUCACUUACUAGGCAGAUAAUUAAACUAAAAUAUUAAGAGUAAGGAAGAGAGAAAAAUUGCACAGAUGAUUUUAUCUUAGUUCAGAUCACAAAGAUCCUACGUCCAGUUGCUUAUCUCAAAAACAAGAUAAACCUUUUUCAUUAAUCACAAAACAAUUACAAAUAAUAGUCACGCAGAAAAUUAAUUUGCAAGAGUUUAGAAAACCACCUCUCUUGAUACCACAAGAGAUGAACUUACACCUCCUUUGAUUAUUCACAAAGGAUGACAACCUCCUUCGAAUACUUCACAAAAGAUGAAACUCUUCCAAUCACCUCCUUAGACGCACCAAGGAUGAACCAGCUAUUUCUCUGUCACCGCAGUAGCACUUCGCAGCUUUGCAGACAAGAGUUUCUUUAGCUUCAGCAACGACACACUGUUCUCAAUGAUUUCAGAUGUUUAGAGCGCAAGGGAAGAGUUGAUUCUGGUAGAAACAAUGAGGCAAUUUAUAGACUCAAGCCAGUGCUCUUCCAUUUUUCGAAACUGGCCAGUUUAACGCAUUUAAUCGAUUAAUAUUAGUGUUAAUCAAUUAAAAUGAAUUAAUCGAUUAUUCCAGAGCCAUUUGGGUUUGCAGUGCCAACCUCAUUUUAAUCGAUUAAAACUUGGUUUAAUCGAUUAAAACAGCUUGUGUUCGAUUCUAAACAAUAAAUAAUCACAUUUGGAGUACAUGAAUCAAAUCCUAUUACAUAUCUAAGCAACAAGACAUCAACUAUGAUUAUUACAAAAGCUUUCAACAAUGAUGGAUCUUCAAAUAAUCUUCUUGGAUCUUGUAUUGUGCAAAUUUGUACAUCAUCAAAACUCCAUAUUUAAUUUUUUGCUAACAUUAUAUAGGAAAACAAGUGUUC